GCGUCAGAGAAUGAAGACUGGUGGCG
rnacentral:piRNA from 1 species